GAAAUAAAUAUAAAAGCCUAGCGACAUUAACCUACAAAGUACGACUUCUGCACAAGAGGAAGAACAAGAAGAUAUUCAAGCUAAAUAUUAUCAUCGAACUAUAUUGGACAACAUGGUCUUGACAAAAUUAAAAUAAUUUUUGCACUCAUCGCUUUUGUUGCGUUAAUCUCACAAGUUCGUUCAUUAACUGCUGGAAAACGAGACUGGGGAAAACGAAAAAGAGCAUUAAAUCACUUUCAAAAGCAAAGGUGGCCGUCAAUGAAUGACCUUCGCAGAAAAUAUGACAAUUAUGACCGC